rnacentral:rRNA from 1 species
UUUCAGGGAUCUUGAGAGCUGGCGUACGGGUGCGGAAACAGUGUGCACUGACUUUAUCUGGGGGAUAGCCUUUCGAAAGGAAGAUUNAAUACCCCAUAAUAUCGUCGAAUGGCAUCGUUCGACAUUGAAAACUCCGGUGGAUCAGAGAUGGGCACGCGCAAGAUUAGAUCAGUCUGGUGAGGUCAACGGAUCACCAAAGUCUACGGAUCUUUAGAGGGGCCUCGACAGAGAGGUAGAUCCCCACAACACUAGGUACUCAGACGACACAGGACCUAAGAACUCCACUUACAGAGAGAAGAGCAAGCAAGUAGAAGAGAAUCAUUAGGACCAAUAGGGUCGAAGAGCCUCAGAUCCAAGCAUUCCCCCGACGUUGAAGGACACGNAAUGACCCUCAUGGGUCGAUCAAACUUCUCUGUGGAUCAUCAGGGCAUAAACCUACCCUCCGUCGAGGGUCAGCUGACAAGGGUCACUUAAUCAACGAAUCAAAGCAACCGGGCUCAAANUCCCAGUGGCCCAGUCAGGCNCGCGGGUUAAUUACACCAGGGAAGAGGUGGCAAAAGGCGGUUCAAUCCCCGGGGGAACUUUCAAUCCAGGAGGAUA